GUUGAAAUCCAUGGCUGUGGGUCCCAACAGUCAGAAGGCGCAAAGGGUUCUACAAGAUGGUCCAUCUGGUCCCCCUGAAGAAGAUGCCUUUGGCUAAGGAGAUGGGGGAGGUCUUGGCAUGAGAGGUCUUUUGUCUCCAUGGGCUGCCCACGGACAUAGUGUCCAACAGAGGACCACAGUUUGUUUCUCGUUUCUGGAAGGAAGUCUGCUCCAUGCUGGGGAUUUACAUUAGUUUGUCCUCCGGAUUUCAUCCGCAGUCCGAUGGCCAGACCGAAAGAGCUAAUCAAGAAGUGGAGACCAAACUUCGCAUUCUUUCCACCGUUGUUCACCAUCCAGGAAAAGGAUGCAGAAGUACCCUCGGCUCAUGCUGCGGCCUUAAGGUGCCAGCGGGUCUGGAGGAAGGCUAGGAGGUCCUUAAUCAGGAUGUCGGAGGUGCAGUCCUAGACGGCCAACUGCAGGCGAACUCCUGCACCGGACUAACAGGUGGGCCAAAAGGUUUGGCUGUCUUAUAAAGACCUUCCCCUACAGGUGGAGUACCGCAAGUUGGCACCUCGUUUUGUUGUUCCUUUUCCCAUCUCCAAGGUUAUAAACCCAGUCGCUGUUCGCCUCCAGUUACCUCGAUCCAUGAGGGUUCACCCUACCUUUCACGUGUCUCGGAUCAAGCCCUAUGUGAUGUCCCGUCUUGGGCCCGCCUCCAGGCCCCCGCCUGGUUCCUGGCUGGGGAUCCUGUCUACACUGUCCGCUGUAUUCUCCGGUCUAGGCGACAGGGACAUGGUUUUCACUACCUGGUGGACUGGGAGAGCUACGGUCUCGAGGAGCGGUCCUGGAUUCCGGAACGCUUCAUCUUGGACAGGACCCUCAUCCGGGAUUUUCACCGCCUCCAUCCUGAUCAGCCUCGGGGUCCGUCUGGAGCCUUACUUUAAAGGGGGGGGACUGUUAUGAUCCUGGCUCGUCUGCCUGCUCUGCUCCGCUCUGCCCUGCUCUCCUGCAUGUAAUCAACUCAUCUGCUUUACCGGUAUGCCGCUGCGCUGCAGCGUAAUCACUGUCAUGCCACACACCUGUUGAACUGCAGUUAAAUACAGCCUCUGACAGGCAGACAGUGCCAGAUUUUUGAAAGGUUCACAUUGAGUAGAUAUCCAGCGUUAUUUCCUGCCUGAUCUCGUUUCCUGACCAAGUCUUGUUUCUCGAAUUUCUCCCUCCUGCCUGCCCCUUUACGGACGUCUCUAGCCCUGGAUUUCGACUCUGUUUCUGCCCCUGGAUUUAUGCUUCUGCCCAGCCCGCGGAUCGGUCUGCCUGAGCCUGUCUGCCUCUCCUUUUUGCCUGAAGUCUUAGUUUUGGAUCAGUUGGCAGUCCGACAUCAAACAGCUGCCCGCCACACACGGACAUUAUGUGUGACGGGGAGUGGCUUUUCCCACUGAGAAGCCACUUCCUUGUCCCCGUUCUCACACAGGAUCCGAGAAGGUUAGUGGCUUUGCUGAUUUUCAGAUUUAUCUGAAUUCUUUCUAGCCUCUAAUUCACUUCUCUGUUCCUAUUGAUUCCUGGAAGCUUAUUGGUGGUUACCGGUGCGAUUGUUUCCUGGAUAAAAAUAAAUCUUUAACUUUUA